GACGAACGCUGGCGGCGUGCCUAAUACAUGCAAGUAGAACGCAGUUGCGCACGCGUGAGUAACGCGUAGGUAACUGCCUCAUAGCGGGGGAUAACUUUUGGAAACGAUAGCUAAUACCGCAUACUGUGAGAUGGACCUGCGUUGUAUUAGCUAGUUGGUGAGGUAAAAGCUCACCAAGGCGCCGAUACAUAGCCGACCUGAGAGGGGGUGCGGCCACACUGGGACUGAGACACGGCCCAGACUCCUACGGGAGGAAGCCGUAGGGAAUCUUCGGCAAUGGACGGAAGUCUGACCGAGCAACGCCGCGUGAGUGAAGAAAGGUUUCGGAUCUUAAAGCUCGGUUGUGAGGGAAGCGGUAACUAAACAGAAAGGGACGGCUAACUACGUGCCAGCCGCCGCGGUAAUUC
rnacentral:rRNA from 1 species